AGGAAAAUACAACCAAAGCAUGCCUGGCAAAUGGCAAUCCGGCCUCUGCUUAGAAACCUCCAAAGGGAGGACCUAGAUUUGGUGUGUGUGUGUGUCAUGUAUUGAUUGGCAGCUUCCUUGUAUUGCUUGACGGGCAGAACUGCCCUGAGGGUGACUGCAAAGUCUGGGGGGAAAGUGGGGUGGGA
rnacentral:lncRNA from 11 species